UACGUAGGGUGCAAGCGUUAAUCGGAAUUACUGGGCGUAAAGCGUGCGCAGGCGGUUUGUAAGUCUGUCGUGAAAUCCCGGGCUCAACCUGGGAAUUGCGAUGGAGACUGCAAGGCUAGAAUCUGGCAGAGGGGGUAGAAUUCCACGUGUAGCAGUAAAUGCGUAGAGAUGUGGAGGAACACCGAUGGCGAAGGCAGCCCCCUGGUCAAGAU
rnacentral:rRNA from 1 species